rnacentral:misc_RNA from 1 species
AUGGGCAUUCAUUACUUUUCUCAUACCUAUCAUGUUUCUUGUGGGAAGACUCGUGACCAUGUCAUGGGCUAUAUGCAUUGUUUUCAACUACUUCCUUUGGCUAAGAGUGGUUGAAUGACAUUUAAUGGACUAUUCUAUUCUCAUGAAUGUUUGAAACUUUGGCUAUAAAUAUACUUUUAUUUCAUCAAAGUCGCUUGGUGACGAUCAUAUAGCUCAAUUUUUAGUCAUAUGAUAUCAAUAUGUAGCAAGGCUACGUGUCGCCAUCCACCCUACGUGUACAUGUAAUUUUGAGUGUU